rnacentral:lncRNA from 1 species
CCAAGUUCAACAAGGUCAAACCAAGUUUGACAAAAAAUUUCAGCAUUUUUAAAAGUCAGAAACUAUUUUUAAUCAAUUAAAAAUGAAUAAAAAUAACCUAAUUGAACUAAAAUCUCAAAUAAAUCUCAAAUCAUUAAAAAAUUGAUGAGAAUAUUUUUCAUAGAUCCAUCAUCAUUCAAAUAGGUUAGGAAAAUAUUUUUGUAUUUUUUGAAUAUCAAAAACAAUUUAAAAUGAAUUAAAAAUAACCAGAAAAGAGAAAAUUC